rnacentral:rRNA from 1 species
AUUGAACGCUGGCGGCAUGCCUUACACAUGCAAGUCGAACGGCAGCACGGGAGCAAUCCUGGUGGCGAGUGGCGAACGGGUGAGUAAUAUAUCGGAACGUGCCCAGUCGUGGGGAUAACGUAGCGAAAGCUACGCUAAUACCGCAUACGAUCUAUGGAUGAAAGCGGGGGAUCGCAAGACCUCGCGCGAUUGGAGCGGCCGAUAUCAGAUUAGGUAGUUGGUGAGGUAAAGGCUCACCAAGCCGACGAUCUGUAGCUGGUCUGAGAGGACGACCAGCCACACUGGGACUGAGACACGGCCCAGACUCCUACGGGAGGCAGCAGUGGGGAAUUUUGGACAAUGGGCGCAAGCCUGAUCCAGCAAUGCCGCGUGCAGGAUGAAGGCCUCGGUGUAACUAGCUUUGUUACGGUAACGGUAAAC